rnacentral:rRNA from 1 species
ACAUGCAAGUCGAGGGGAACGACAUCGAAAGCUUGCUUUUGAUGGGCGUCGACCGGCGCACGGGUGAGUAACGCGUAUCCAACCUGCCCAUCACUUGGGGAUAACCUUGCGUAAGUAAGACUAAUACCCAAUGACGUCUCUAGAAGACAUCUGAAAGAGAUUAAAGAUUUAUCGGUGAUGGAUGGGGAUGCGUCUGAUUAGCUUGUUGGCGGGGUAACGGCCCACCAAGGCGACGAUCAGUAGGGGUUCUGAGAGGAAGGUCCCCCACAUUGGAACUGAGACACGGUCCAAACUCCUACGGGAGGCAGCAGUGAGGAAUAUUGGUCAAUGGACGAGAGUCUGAACCAGCCAAGUAGCGUGCAGGAUGACGGCCCUAUGGGUUGUAAACUGCUUUUAUAAGGGAAUAAAGUUAGUCUCGUGAGACUUUUUGCAUGUACCUUAUGAAUAAGGACCGGCUAAUUCCGUGCCAGCAGCCGCGGUAAUACGGAAGGUCCGGGCGUUAUCCGGAUUUAUUGGGUUUAAAGGGAGCGUAGGCCGGAGAUUAAGCGUGUUGUGAAAUGUAGACGCUCAACGUCUGCACUGCAGCGCGAACUGGUUUCCUUGAGUACGCACAAAGUGGGCGGAAUUCGUGGUGUAGCGGUGAAAUGCUUAGAUAUCACGAAGAACUCCGAUUGCGAAGGCAGCUCACUGGAGCGCAACUGACGCUGAAGCUCGAAAGUGCGGGUAUCGAACAGGAUUAGAUACCCUGGUAGUCCGCACGGUAAACGAUGGAUGCCCGCUGUUGGUCUGAAUAGGUCAGCGGCCAAGCGAAAGCAUUAAGCAUCCCACCUGGGGAGUACGCCGGCAACGGUGAAACUCAAAGGAAUUGACGGGGGCCCGCACAAGCGGAGGAACAUGUGGUUUAAUU